rnacentral:rRNA from 1 species
GACCGGCGCACGGGUGAGUAACACGUAUCCAACCUGCCGAUGACUCGGGGAUAGCCUUUCGAAAGAAAGAUUAAUACCCGAUGGCAUAGUUCUUCCGCAUGGUAGAACUAUUAAAGAAUUUCGGUCAUCGAUGGGGAUGCGUUCCAUUAGGUUGUUGGCGGGGUAACGGCCCACCAAGCCUUCGAUGGAUAGGGGUUCUGAGAGGUUAACCCCCCACACUGGUACUGAGACACGGUCCAAACUCCUACGGGAGGCAGUAGUGAGGAAUAUUGGUCAAUGGACGAGAGUCUGAACCAGCCAAGUAGCGUGAAGGAUGACUGCCCUAUGGGUUGUAAACUUCUUUUAUACGGGAAUAAAGUGAGGCACGUGUGCCUUUUUGUAUGUACCGUAUGAAUAAGGAUCGGCUAACUCCGUGCCAGCAGCCGCGGUAAUACGGAGGAUCCGAGCGUUAUCCGGAUUUAUUGGGUUUAAAGGGAGCGUAGGCGGACGCUUAAGUCAGUUGUGAAAGUUUGCGGCUCAACCGUAAAAUUGCAGUUGAUACUGGGUGUCUUGAGUACAGUAGAGGCAGGCGGAAUUCGUGGUGUAGCGGUGAAAUGCUUAGAUAUCACGAAGAACUCCGAUUGCGAAGGCAGCCUGCUGGACUGUAACUGACGCUGAUGCUCGAAAGUGUGGGUAUCAAACAGGAUUAGAUACCCUGGUAGUCCACACAGUAAACGAUGAAUACUCGCUGUUUGCGAUAUACAGCAAGCGGCCAAGCGAAAGCGUUAAGUAUUCCACCUGGGGAGUACGCCGGCAACGGUGAAACUCAAAGGAAUUGACGGGGGCCCGCACAAGCGGAGGAACAUGUGGUUUAAUUCGAUGAUACGCGAGGAACCUUACCCGGGCUUAAAUUGCAGAUGAAUUACGGUGAAAGCCGUAAGCCGCAAGGCAUCUGUGAAGGUGCUGCAUGGUUGUCGUCAGCUCGUGCCGUGAGGUGUCGGCUUAAGUGCCAUAACGAGCGCAACCCUUGUUGUCAGUUACUAACAGGUUCCGCUGAGGACUCUGACAAGACUGCCAUCGUAAGAUGUGAGGAAGGUGGGGAUGACGUCAAAUCAGCACGGCCCUUACGUCCGGGGCUACACACGUGUUACAAUGGGGGGUACAGAGGGCCGCUACCACGCGAGUGGAUGCCAAUCCCAAAAACCUCUCUCAGUUCGGACUGGAGUCUGCAACCCGACUCCACGAAGCUGGAUUCGCUAGUAAUCGCGCAUCAGCCACGGCGCGGUGAAUACGUUCCCGGGCCUUGUACACACCGCCCGUCAAG